rnacentral:tmRNA from 1 species
GGGGACGACAGGCUUCGACGUGGUCGGUUCCGUGGGUGUGGUUGCGAGCCGAGGUCCCGGAGGCCUCGUAAAACCCCGGGAAAACCAUACGUGCGGACUCUCACGAGUACGCCCUCGCCGCUUAGUCAAUAGCUAAGCCGUGAGGUCCGGGCCCCCAACGCCUGCUAGGGGCCCACCCGGAUCAUCAAGCAGGCUCACCCGGUGAGGUCCGUCCUCGCCGAUCCGGGGACAGUUCAGAGGACUGGGUCCUGGCAACCCCGCCGGCGAGGCGACCCGGGACCGAGAUCAGAGCGCCGGCUACGCUCGUAGAAGCCACAUCAACGCGAUCGCGGACGCGGGUUCAAUUCCCGCCGUCUCCACUU